GACGAACGCUGGCGGCGUGCUUAACACAUGCAAGUCGAACGGAAAGGCCCUGCUUUUGUGGGGUGCUCGAGUGGCGAACGGGUGAGUAACACGUGAGUAACCUGCCCUUGACUUUGGGAUAACUUCAGGAAACUGGGGCUAAUACCGGAUAGGAGCUCCUGCUGCAUGGUGGGGGUUGGAAAGUUUCGGCGGUUGGGGAUGGACUCGCGGCUUAUCAGCUUGUUGGUGGGGUAGUGGCUUACCAAGGCUUUGACGGGUAGCCGGCCUGAGAGGGUGACCGGCCACAUUGGGACUGAGAUACGGCCCAGACGCCGACGGGAGGCAGCAGUGGGGAAUAUUGCACAAUGGGCGGAAGCCUGAUGCAGCAACGCCGCGUGCGGGAUGACGGCCUUCGGGUUGUAAACCGCUUUCGCCUGUGACGAAGCGUGAGUGACGGUAAUGGGUAAAGAAGCACCGGCUAACUACGUGC
rnacentral:rRNA from 1 species